rnacentral:siRNA from 1 species
UCCCUGCCCUUUGUACACAC